GCAGAGCACGGCACGAUUCUGACGGCAGCCAACGCUGUCUGUGAUUUCAAAAGAAAGCUUCGCCCUCACUUUUCUCUCUCUCUCCCGUUCUCCCACGUUUGCGCUGGCAUUGUGUCCUGCCGACUGGGAGAAAGAGCAGUUGAUUUGGGGCCCGUCUUUGGAAUAAGAAAUCAUUGCUGUUUCUGACUGGAGCGAAGAAAGAUAAGACUCCUCUGGAUUUCUUUGGAUUGUAAUUUUCUGGAUGGCUUGUUUCCGAGGAUUUGCAAACAUCUACCGGGAUAUAUAAUUUGACCAAGCAUCCAGAAAGGGAAAUUUGGAGGAGUUUUAUGCUUUCAUUCGUCCGGUUGGAGACAGCUAAAAAAGCGAGCCCCACUUAAACUGGUCUGCCCUGUGUGUGGCGCUUUGAGCUCUCCGCUGACCGUCCCGUUGGCAUGCGUAUAUCUGCGAACAUGUUGGCACCAGCUUAACCUCCUACUCACAGCCUCCAUUUUGGUUCACUUUCCUGGGACUGAAACCACAUGAUGAUUAUUUGCAGAAGGUCUCAGGAGAGAAAAUGUUCCAUUGACUUUCACACAUUCAACCUCAAGCUUUUAUCUCAUCAGGACCAUUGCUUGGGUGUGUG